GAUCCUGGCUCAGGGUGAACGCUAGCUAUAGGCUUAACACAUGCAAGUCGAGGGGCAUCAGUUUGGUUUGCUUGCAAACCAAAGCUGGCGACCGGCGCACGGGUGAGUAACACGUAUCCAACCUGCCUCAUACUCGGGGAUAGCCUUUCGAAAGAAAGAUUAAUAUCCGAUAGCAUAUAUUUCCCGCAUGGGUUUUAUAUUAAAGAAAUUCGGUAUGAGAUGGGGAUGCGUUCCAUUAGUUUGUUGGGGGGG
rnacentral:rRNA from 1 species